GGACUACCCGGGUAUCUAAUCCUGUUUGCUCCCCACGCUUUCGUGCCUGAACGUCGGUGCUGGACCAGGAAGCCGCUUUCGCCACUGGUGUUCCUUCCGAUAUCUACGCAUUUCACCGCUACACCGGAAAUUCCGCUUCCCUCUUCCGCACCCUAGCUAUUCAGUCUCAAAUGCAAUUCCCAGGUUGAGCCCGGGGCUUUCACACCUGACUUAAAUAACCGUCUACGCACGCUUUACGCCCAGUAAUUCCGAUUAACGCUUGCACCCUCUGUAUUACCGCGGCGGCUGGCAC
rnacentral:rRNA from 1 species